rnacentral:lncRNA from 1 species
ACAUCAUACUGUUUCAAAAAUAGUAAAAUGUGAUUUCUCUUUUAUCAGCCUUUUGAGUUCAGGAUGUGUAACUUUGCAACAAUACAAUGCAAUGCUUUAAAAAAAGAAUCUGAGAUUUUCAUAUGAUCACAGGAGAUGAGGUUUUAAGGGGAACACCAGGGAUUCCAAGACAAUAGUAAAAAGUUCAUGGGUAUUUGCAACCCUGGAGCUUCCUGGUAUAUGUGAUCAAAAAGGGCUACAAAGACUCAUGUUGUGUGCUCCUACCACACAGGUCUUUCACCUUGUGAUGCUUCAUGGGAUGCAUAAUAUCCAAAGAAAAAAGGGGUUAUCAUCAGUGAAGUCCACCCUCCUCUGAAACAAGAAAAUCCAGUGCAGUUCCACCAGCUAAUUCACAGUGGAGGCCAUUGAUCCCUGUGUCUGACACUCAUCAGCUUGAAUGACCACUGUGUAGCAUGUGGAGGGGCCAUUCAGACCUGAGCCUUAACUUACUCUAGCACUCUAGGUUAAUCUGUUUCACUCUGCUAAGAGCAAGGUUGAAAGUUGACUCCAAAGAGCAAAGGAGGUGAAAACAGUUUUGAAAAUGGGUGCACAGUGCAUACAAUAUGUAUCUAGAAAUGCCAUUUUAUAAUCUCUUCAUUCCUUUCCUGCCAUCAUUUUUGAUUUCCCUAACCCAGACUAUUCAUUAAGUAUUGAAACAUAUGGUAAUAAGAAUUUGUAUAACAGGAGAAGUGGUGAUUUUAAAAGCAGAUUCAGUUAAGCAAUAGGUGAUGUAUUUAAAUUGGGAGAUCUUGUAGUUGGAUGACUGAGGGUGGGGUCAGGAGU